AUGAGAUUAGUAUAUUUAGGUACUUGAUGGACAGCACAGACACUGUGGGCUGAAGGGCCUACUUCCAUGCUGUACGACUCAGUGACUCUCUGUCACUUUUUAAAAUAUCUUAAGGUAGUUUAUGCUAUUUUGGCCUGGUUUCAUAAAAUAGUUUCUUUGAAUGAAUUAUGUUGUUAAGGGUUGUCUUUUGACAAUGGCUCUUAUUCUCCAGUGUGCAGUUGGUGUACGGCCCCAGAUGGGUAUGAUGAUCACAGUAACAGCAAAUCUUUUCCAUUCUGAUAUAUGGGAAAGGAAAUUAACUGGCAAAAGAAGGCUAUUACAAGAGAAAUAAAAACAGAGCAGAUGGAAAAGAAACAAAAGGAAAAUACUUCUGAAAUUUACCUCAGCUCAAAUGAACAGAUUUAUGAUCUUCACAAAGAAUUACAGACUUACAAAUUGGGAAAUGGAAAUAAAUGAAUCAUGGCAGACAAGCGCCAGCGACCUGGGUUCAAUUCCAGCCACUGUCUGUAAGGAGUUUGUACGUUCUCCCCGUGUCUGCGUGGGUUUCCUCCGGGUGCUCCGAUUUCCUCCUAUGAAGACAUGCGGGUUAGGAAGUUGUGGGCAUGCUAUGUUGGCACCGGAAGCGUGGUGACACUUGCGGGCUGCCCUCAGAAAACUCUACACAAAAAGAUGUAUUUCACUGUGUGU